GUGAGGCCAAAGCCGUGUGCGAGCCGGCGGCGGUGCGCAUUUCUCCGCCGCUUCUUUCUCCUUCUUCUUUUUUCCCCCCUCUAACCUCCCCCCCCCCCCCCCCUCCCUCACCCUCCGAUCCUCUUAUCUCAGCUGUGUACAAACUGAUAGCGGGAAAGUGAGUGGAAAAUUAAAAUAACGGCGUUGCCCCGAGGUUAUCGCCUGCGGAUCUGUCGGCGUCGCUCCGCGAAGGGCGGGGAAGGGGGGGGGUGAAUUGGGGGGGGGGGGGACGGCGAGAACCUGGGGGGGCCGGGAUGGGGGGAGAGAGUGGGAACGUUCCUCCGUCGGAUUGUGGCUUUCCUCCGGGCUCUGUGCGGGCACUGAUGUUCUCCUCCCGGCUUUUUGUUUUAUUUGCGUUUUAUUUUAUCUUCCUAAAAAUAAUCACGUGCAUUUGAUUUCAUUUCCUUGCGCUCCGUCGUUAUUUUUACCUUUCGAUGUUUGUUAACGGGCGUGAUAACGCGUGGAAAAUAACCUACUCGAAGCAGCGAUCCGCUGUCUCUCAACGCCCCGCGCUCACUCCCAUACGACUGUGCCACGUAAAACGCUCUUUCUUUCUCCCUCCGUGUUCGUUACCUGCGGGGGAGCCCCGGGGGUGAUACAGACGCCGCCUCCCCCCCCCCCCCCCCCACACACACACACACACCGAUCCCCGCCCCUAAACGCCGCCGGCCCCACGCUCCCUUCGGAGCCCCGCUGGCCGACCCCCGGCACGGCUGUGCCCCCCGCCGCCCCGCUGCCGCCAGCUCCUCCGUGCGCUCUUCUGACGUAGCGGAACGCGUCGGUCUUCGUGGUACCGACACAUCGAAUUUAUUGCUAAUUACUGGACGACGUCGGGAUCGGAAAGUGCCAAAAGACUCUCGGGGCCGGGAGGCUGCACUGUGCCGCCCCAUCGCCACCUUCGGCGUGUCGUAAAGGCUCACAGAUGAGUGCAUCUGGAGGUGCGAACUGCUCCGUUUCAGCCCCGGUUGGAUGGAUGCGAGUGCAGCCGGGCGUGCGUAGGGGCUGCCUUUGUUCCUCCGUUUAUCACCCUCGAUGAUAAAACUCGGGGAAGAAAUUAAAGCUUUAGCUUUAGCACAGCGGUGGCUGAGUAGGUGGGACUCAUCCCGAUGGCUCUGUUUUUCUUUUCGGCGUUCGUUUACACGGGCGGGGUGGAUCCGGCCCUCACGAGUUGGACUGGGUUGUCCUUACGGGUCCCCUCCAACUCGGGAUGCCCGAUUGCUCUAUGGCUCUAAAUCCACGCGCUGGGAUCCGCACAGCGCCUAUUUCUAAAGGGGAGGGGAAAAAAAAGACGUAGGCAUCUUUGGUGAGCCCUGAGUGUAACAGCAUCAGCUGCGUACCAAAACGCCUCGGGGGGGGUUUGUAAGCAGGGCUGCAUCUGGGUCUUGCACUGAGCCGCUAUUUAGAACGAUCAAACAGAAGCUGAGCCACGCACAGCUGCAAUAUCUAGCUGUGAAAUAAGCAAUUGAAAAAUGAAAUUAAAGCAGAGAAAAGCUUUUACUUGUUAAAGGUCUGCGUGUGUUACUUGCUUUUGCCGCAGCCCUGCAGAAAGGUGCACGCCCCGUGGGGCAACGUGGCUGCUCCCUGUGUUUCACACUGGGCUUCGUGUUACCAACACCUCUGUGGUGCAGGUGCCGGGCAGCUGCGUGGGCACUGAGGCUGUGCAGGAGGAUGGGGACGGACAGAGGGAAGUGAGGCGGCAGCAAAGCUUCACGCUGAUGUUCAUUUCUUACAUACUACGUAAGGCAGUGCUCUCUAAGGUGGAUGCAAUUCAGCCCGAACCUUCAAGCUCUUACCCUUCAGGUCCUCCCUACAGUAGCAGGCACUGCUCGACUCCCAGACCCUGCCUCUCGCUGUGCUCCAUUUUCCUAUCUCCUCAGUUUGGCUUUUGAGAGCUUCAACAGAAUUGUUGAAUGACAUUUCCUACGGCGGGGCUUUUCCAAACAAAUUAACUUCAUCUCUGCUUGCAAGAAAUAGAAAAACAUAUUUUGCUGGUGCCUGCCUGGAACUGUGCGUGCCUGCGAGGUCCAGAGGGUGACACCUCUUCCACAGCAUUUCCUUUAAUACACCCGUAGAGGAGAAACUAAUGGCUGGGAGCUGUGCCUACGAGAAAGCUGAAAACAUUCUGUACAAAAAUACACUGACCAAAGCCAAGCGUUUGGGCUGUUGGAACGCAGAGCUGGCUUGGGUGCAUCUGCAGAGGGGAUCGGAAAGCAAAUAGUUUGACCUGAGCUGGAAAGGGAGCGCAGAAGGAUGGGACGGUGGGCCCCUCACUCAGCAGAAGGAGGGAGAGCUGCCAUGGGUCCAUCCCACUCUUUGCAUGAAGGCAGAAUCCAGCAGCCCUACAACUGCACGUUGCUAAAAGGAACGGCAGUACAUCUCCAUUGUGGCAUCCAACACAACGAGGGUUCCCAGUAUCUGUCAGUGUGAAUGUCAAAAAUAGGCUGUUUAACGGACUAAAUUAUUUUAUCAGCCCUCCUUUUGGAAGGGGGAAUCCUGCUGAGUAAAGCACAAGAAGUAAAUAAAGCCUCACCAUUGAGGACCUGGCUCCAGUGGGAGUUUUGCUGGAGAAGGGCCCGUACGAACUGACCUAUUUAAUUAAAACGUGACGGCGUGCAUUUGCCUUUACAUCACUACAGCCCAGUGUCAGCCUUAGGGUCGCAGAUCUGCUACAGCUGAGCAAAGUGUCCCGUCUGGGGUCCCCCCUCUUGGUUAGAAAGAAAGCAAAAGGAUGCUCUUAGGGAAAUGGGCUAACGAUUAAAAAUAAGCGUAAUGGUCUAAAUGAACACUGCCGGCAGUAGUAAAAAGGAUGGUUUCAUUGUGUCGGUUGAUGUCGGUUAAUCAUUUUGGGGCCAUCCAGAUCUAAACCGGGGUAAUUUAUUGACUGCAAUAAAAACUGGACGUGUGCCACAUUAUUCAAGAAAAAACAAUACGCUGCAAAAACAAUACGGAGAAGAGGUAAUUUGUACAGAGUUCACGAGACAAUUAUAUAUCAUCUAAGCACAAAACUGACUCACUGUGCCCUUGGCUCCAUAUAUUAGGAGAGGUUUGAAGGAUGUGCUGAACAUACCGAGAGUCCAGGAAUUUUAACUGAGAUCCUGCCUGUAUGCUCAGGUAGGCAUCCAGGGACUGGUGUGAGCCAGCAUACAGACCAGGAGAAGGAUUCAGGAUUCGGGACUCAGGACACAACUUCAUUAUUCGGAGCUGUUUUGCUGAGGAGUGCCUUGAAACUUAAUCAGAAUCAUUGGAAAACUUUGAUGAACAAUUCAAGACCAAAAAAAAAAAAAAAAAAAAAAAAAACAACAAAAAAACCCCAACCAUUUCAAGAAUUAAUUACUGGUUUCAAACCCUGACGGCGGUCUGAAAGCUGCCUGAAUAUUACAUGCUUCUCUGGCACUUCUGCUGGUGCAGAGCUUCUCUGGAGCAAUCCGGAGGGGACGCCUGUAUGUGAGCAGAUCAUCGAAUCAUAGAAUCACCAAGGUUGGAAAAGACCUACAGGAUCACCCAGUCCAACCAUCCACCCAUCACCAACAGUUCUCACUAAACCAUGUCCCUCAACAAGAUGUGAUCCUUGUUCAAACAGAGCAAAUCUCUGCGGUGCCCGUACCGUGGCAUGGAAGCUGGGCUGUGCCCAUCGAAGCCCAAAAAUGACCUGGAUCAAAACAAAAGCAAGUUGCUGAAUUAUUCUUCAAAUUGCCAAGUCAUAUCUGCACUGCAACCUUCUGAACUCUUGUUGGAUGCUUUUCCUUGAACUUUUCAAGCUAUUUAAGGAAUGUACAAAUAUUUUCUUUGUUGAUUAUGUAAAAAAUUUCAUUAAAUGAAGCUCUCCCCCCUCCCCCCUGUUUGCAUCUCUUUUGAUGUUUCUUACCCUGUUUAUCAUGCGUUUUGUGUUUGAAUAGAUUUCAGUGGGUGAUGUCUAGCCACGCUACCGCAAACUGCGGAGGAGGUUAAUGGUUAUAAUGAAUAUUCAUUUAUAAAACGGAGAAAACCUCAGCGCCUCUUGAUUUGUUUCUAUUAAUAAUAAUUCUGGCUGGCAUACAGUACGUUUUAAAGCUAAGGCUAUGAGAAUCGAGGAGCAAAUGUUGAGUCUGGGAGACCUGGGUCUGACUUUAACCCGUGUAGGGGCUGGAUGUUGGAAGGUCCUUCUGCAGCAUGUUGGCUUUGGUGCCGUGCUGUCAAGCAGCCCUCUCUGUCUUCCUGGAGGGUCCCUCCUGCCCAGAGGAGCUGUGCUGGUGCCAGCCCUGCAAUCACUGCCUUCCCAUCGUGUUAAUGGAAUUCCAAGUGGGACCACACCGGGAGAAAAGACCACUGAAGUGGUUACAGUUAAAAAUAUCUCCCUCUCUCCUCCUCCUGCAAGAGGUUUAUUUUUAACUUGCAGUACUUCGGUGCUCUGGUUUGAGCGUUGUCCUACACACAGCUGUUUUGGCACCGCUGAGAAGGUGACAACUGUGGGACAGAGGUGGCAACAGGCAUCUGGGGCAGGGGCUGGUUGGGACUACGGUGCGAUAGUUCAUUGUAUGGACUUAGACUUUGCCUUUCCUGGCUCUUCUUAUAGCCGUGUAGCAUCUCUGCUGCAAAUCCCCGGUACAGAAGUGCUGUAGCACUGUUGUUUUCUUAUCCCAAACCAGCUCAUUUACACAAGAGAUUUCACAGAAUCAUAGGAUCAUAGAAUAUCCCCAGUUGGAAGCGACCCAUAAAAAUCAUUGAGUCCGACUCCUAUUUGCAGUCGCAUGGGUUUUAUUGUGGAAGAACACAGUGUAGGCAAAGCCUCAGCCAAAUCAUGAGGACUGUGUCCCUAAAGACAUUUGUUAGGAGGCUAAGAUUCGGUCAGUGACAGGCUUAAAUGGACAGGGUUAGUAUCAGGCAUUUGGUUGGAGCCGGUGCCUUGGCCAUGGGGCAGCAGCCUUCUACGCUCCCCAGCUGCAAUUCCUUACAGGUCUCUGAACACAGCCUUACUUAUUUUGUUUACAUUCAAAGGAUUAAUAUGCAUAUGUGAUUCAGGGCAGAGUAAGAACUUCUCCCAGGUCACUUUGGCUGGGAUUUAGGGUUCUUCCAUCUUUUCUUAAAGCCAUGAGUCACUUGCUGAAAUCUCUCUGGUCUCCAUUCUUAUCUCUCCAGCUUCCU
ensembl:lncRNA